AUGAUGAACUUUGUGCGUGCCCAGAUCAAGAAAGUAGUUGAUGAGACCGAGACUAUUCUAGAGACAACCCCGGUUGGGAAAAGCGAUGGGGAAGGUGCACUUCGAGCAUUUAUUAAGCGCCAGGGCCAAAGGUUAAGGCGGCUAUCGAACCUUGUCGGUUGUCGUGGCCCCGAGUAUGUAUCACCUCAACGGUCUAGGUCGGCGACACCAUCAGAUCCCACUUCUGGCCAUGGUGAUCCUUUGGAGGAUGAGGAUGUGGGUGUGGUCACCCAAGAUGUCACUACUGCAGGAUGCUGCUAA
rnacentral:rRNA from 1 species